GUCAGGGUGGCCGAGUGGUUAAGGCGCCUGCCUCAAGAGCAGGUCCCCUGUGGGUUCGAACCCCACUCCUGACA